rnacentral:rRNA from 1 species
UACGUAGGGUGCGAGCGUUAAUCGGAAUUACUGGGCGUAAAGUGUGCGCAGGCGGCCGCGCAAGUCGAGUGUGAAAGCCCCGAGCUUAACUUGGGAAUUGCGCUCGAAACUACGUGGCUGGAGUGUGGCAGAGGAAGGUGGAAUUCCACGUGUAGCGGUGAAAUGCGUAGAUAUUAGGAGGAACACCAGUGGCGAAAGCGACUGUCUGGGCCAUUACUGACGCUGAGGCACGAAAGCGUGGGGAGCAAACAGG